CAUUGUCUUCAACUUUAAAAUCAAAUGCUGGAGUCUGCAGCUCAGAAGAUAUCAGUACAACUGGGGUCAGAGGAAACCCACAGUUCAUGAAAUGCCCAUGAAUUAAGGUGAUGCCACUAAGCAAUUGCCUGUGUGUGAUAACAUCUCUCACUUGAACACAGAGCAUUCGGGUCUGCACAAACAGCUGGUGUGCACAAAGGACGUGAGGGUCUGUGCCGAUUGAAAGGAGAUUGAUCAGAAUGACUCAAGAACUGAGGGAUAUUAGUUGUAAGCUCAGGUUGGAGAAAAUGAAGUGUUCUGCACAACGUAAAGGAGACUGAGAUGAUCUUUGACAAAGGUGUCUAGGUUUAUGACAGAUUUAGAUAAGGUAGGUAAAUAGCAGCUGUUCCUCUUCACUGAUCGUAAAAAAAAAUUAGAAACAGAGAUUUCAGAUAUUGGGCAAUAGUUACUGGGAGAUGAAAGGAAGGAACUUAACAUUACUUUUAUUUGACUCAAUACUGACAUUCAAAGACCAAUAAUAUCCAGUGCUGAUCUGCAAAUCCUUUUCUAACACUCUGAAGCUCUGAAAUUCAUUUCCUUCAUCUGCUCAAACACUGUACUGCAAAACAAAAACUUUGCUCCUUAUUGAAACAUGCAGGUUUUUUGGAGGAUUAACAGGUUGCUUGCAGAAAGAUUGGUUCCCUUCUCGGACAGUCUAGGACCAGAAUACCUCAUAUCAGAGUGGGGUUUCAUAUUUAAACCAGAGAUGAGGAAGAAAUUAUUCUCUCAGACAGUUGUGAAUUGGUGGAAUUCUUUGCAGCAGAGGUUUGUUGUGACUGGGUCAAUAAGUAUAUUUAAGGCUGAGAUCGACAGAUCUUUAAGCAAUAAAGGUAUCAAGGAUUAUGGGGAAAGACAACAAAGUGCAGAUCAGACUGAAUCUCAUUGAAUGGUAGAGCAGAGGUGAUGGUCUGAAUGGUCUCUUUCUGUUUGUAAACUCAAUGGUCUUGAAAUGAGGCUGCAAAACUCUCCGCAGUAAAAUGUGCAAAAUGAAAAAUACAUGGAACCCUUCAGAAAGCUGAACCAAGGUGAGACAUGGAAAGGGCAACACACAAAUGAUAGUCAAUGUGGCUGAUUGAUCCGGAGUGAUCUGUUUACCACGGUAAACAGGAAAACUGGUCUUCAGCUCUCACAUUGAGCUCGACUCAAAGUUUUGGCAAAGAUCUAUAGCUCAGUUUGUGGGUGAGUUGUUGACUUGUUCGCCGAGCUGGCUUGUUCUUGCUCAGAUGUUUCAUCACCAUGCCAAGUGACAUCAAAAGGAGAGCCUCCGUUGAAGCAGUGUUUUUCUCCUCUGCUUGGAAUUUAUACUGUUUGCUCCGUUAUGGUGAGUAGUGUCAUUUCUGGUUUUGAUCUGUGUGGGUUUGUAUAGGGGUCCAAUUCUUUAUGUUUGCUGAUUGCAUGAUGGCUGGAGAACGAUGCCUCUAAGAAUUCCUGUGCAUGUCUAUGUUUGGCUUGGGCUACUAUGGUGACCUUGUCCCAGUUGAACUAAUGGCCUUCAUUGUCUGAGUGUCUCGAUAUGAAGGAGAGUUUGUCAUUCCAUUUUGCUGCUGGUUGAAGUUUUUGAAUUCCAGUGUCUAGUUUCAUUCCUGUCUGUCCGAUGUAAUGUUUACAGUCGUAAUUGCAUGGUAUUUUGUAAACCACAUUGGUUCUGCAUGUUGUGGGAAUGGGAUCUUUAAUUCUUUUAAGUUAUUGUCAUUGAGUGGCUGUGGGCAUGUCGGCCACCAUGAUUCUGAGUGGGCUGCGGGGUCUUGUCGUCACUUGCAAUAUAUUCUUGAUGUAUGACAGUGUGGCCAGUGUGUGAGGGCGUACUGUGUCCUUCUAUUGUUGCCUGUUUAACAUCGGCAGCCUCACCAAAAUUCCCUCACACAAGGUAUUGCUGCAGAAGACCAGAUAAUCCCAGUUCCCAGGCCUGGAAUCAGAGCCUCAGUAGCCCAGCCGCGAAGAUACAACGGGAAAUGGGGGAUGGCAAUGAGCGCACAGGGCUACUCUGUAGUUCCUAUUACACAAUCGGGCAGAUUCAGUGGACAAAAACCUGGAAUAAGUGGAUUGCCAUAAAAGGAAAAUCUAGAGGAAAAUCUAGACAUUUUCGGCCUGUAUCCUCUGGAGUUUUGAAAAGAAAGAGGAGACUAAAUUGAAACAUGAAAGAUCCUGAGGGGACAUGACCAGAUGCAUGGUGAAAACGUGGUCCCUCUUCUGGGAGGAUCUAGAACUGAGGGUCAUUGUUUAAAGCACAACUGCUGCUCACAGUCCAGACGUCACUGUUCAACUCUCAGAUUCAAGCCAAAAAUUAUUUAAAAACUCAGCGAGGGUGCUAACACUGGACACAGUGGAAAGACCUCUAACCAGAUAGUCUAGGCCUGUAUCAGAAGCCGGAGGCUCUCUGCAACCUACACGCAGCACCAGAAGACCCCUGUUUGAGACUUGAGACCUAAACUGAGC